GGAAGGUCCGGGCGUUAUCCGGAUUUAUUGGGUUUAAAGGGAGCGUAGGCCGGAGAUUAAGCGUGUUGUGAAAUGUAGAUGCUCAACAUCUGAACUGCAGCGCGAACUGGUUUCCUUGAGUACGCACAAGGUGGACGGAAUUCGUGGUGUAGCGGUGAAAUGCUUAGAUAUCACGAAGAACUCCGAUUGCGAAGGCAGCUCACUGGAGCGCNACUGACGCUGAAGCUCGANAGUGCGGGUAUUGAACAGGAUUAGAUACCCUGGUAGUCCGCACGGUAAACGAUGGAUGCCCGCUGUUUGCGAUAUACUGCAAGCGGCCNAGCGAAAGCGUUNAGUAUUCCACCUGGGGAGU
rnacentral:rRNA from 1 species